rnacentral:tRNA from 1 species
GGCCGCGUAGCUCAGCGGUAGAGCAUCUGAUUCCAGCUUCCCUAAUAAGGAGGAAUUAGAAAUUCCAGAAGGUCAUCCGUUCAAAUCGGGUCGUGGUCA